UACGGAGGGUGCAAGCGUUAUCCGGAUUCACUGGGGUUAAAGGGAGCGCAGGCGGACUGGUAAGUCAGUGGUGAAAGCCCUGGGCUCAACCCGGGAACUGCCAUUGAUACUAUCAGUCUUGAAUAUCGUUGAGGUUUGCGGAAUGGGUCAUGUAGCGGUGAAGUGCAUAGAUAUGACCCGGAACACCUAUUGCGAAGGCAGCUCACUACACGAAUAUUGACACUGAGGCACGAAAGCGUGGGGAUCAAACAGG
rnacentral:rRNA from 1 species